rnacentral:rRNA from 1 species
GAUGAACGCUGGCGGCGUGCCUAAUACAUGCAAGUCGAGCGAACAGACGAGGAGCUUGCUCCUUUGACGUUAGCGGCGGACGGGUGAGUAACACGUGGGUAACCUACCUAUAAGACUGGGAUAACUUCGGGAAACCGGAGCUAAUACCGGAUAAUAUUUCGAACCGCAUGGUUCGAUAGUGAAAGAUGGCUUUGCUAUCACUUAUAGAUGGACCUGCGCCGUACUAGCUAGUUGGUAAGGUAACGGCUUACCAAGGCAACGACACGUAGCCGACCUGAGAGGGUGAUCGGCCACACUGGAACUGAGACACGGUCCAGACUCCUACGGGAGGCAGCAGUAGGGAAUCUUCCGCAAUGGGCGAAAGCCUGACGGAGCAACGCCGCGUGAGUGAUGAAGGUCUUCGGAUCGUAAAACUCUGUUAUUAGGGAAGAACAAACGUGUAAGUAACUGUGCACGUCUUGACGGUACCUAAUCAGAAAGCCACGGCUAACUACGUG